UACGUAGGGUGCAAGCGUUGUCCGGAAUUAUUGGGCGUAAAGAGCUCGUAGGCGGUCUGUCGCGUCGGCUGUGAAAUCCCGAGGCUCAACCUCGGGUCUGCAGUCGAUACGAGCAAACUAGAGUGUUGCAGGGGAGACUGGAAUUCCUGGUGUAGCGGUGAAAUGCGCAGAUAUCAGGAGGAACACCGGUGGCGAAGGCGGGUCUCUGGGCCGUAACUGACGCUGAGGAGCGAAAGCAUGGGGAGCGAACAGG
rnacentral:rRNA from 1 species